rnacentral:misc_RNA from 1 species
UUAAUAAUUUAAUAUUACUCAGACAAUAAUUAAUUCAAGAGUUUAGGGUCCUCUGGCGGGCACUCACCAGCCGAAGCCGGUGGCCGAGGCGGCCCGCCAAAGCAACAAAGGUAAGAUAACAUAGGGUUGGAGAGUCACCCGUGAGGGCGAUGUUCUCUGUAAUGAUCCUUCCGCAGGUUCACCUACGGAAA